GGGGAGGAGGAGGAGGGGGCGCGGCGGGGGCAGCGCUGCCCGCCGGCACCGGGCUGGCCCCCGCAGCCGGGCGGGGAGGGGGCGCGGCGGUGAGUGGUGGGAGAGGGCGCCUGGGGGAGGCUACGAGCGGGAAUCCUGCCAGCGGGUCUCCUCACGCCCGCCCCCCGCUCCAGUGAAUGGCUAUUUUUGUUCCACUGGUAUUUUUGUCCUUGCUCUGAAGGUGCUUGGCGUUUAGCUGUUCGCUGCCGAUGACUCAUUAUGCAGUAUUUCUAGAAAACCCGCUUUCCUAUUUAUGGGGAAGCCAUCAUUCAGUGUAGAAUACGCAGUAGUGGUCGUGUUGAGCCGCGCCGCGGCUUCGUGGAAGGAGUGAGUAUGUGGAUCAGAUUCAUUCAGCUACGUGCAGCUGCACCUUCAGCAAGAUAAAAGCUUUGAAAACACCUAAUGAGAUAUCAGUUGGUGUAAAGGCUCCGGAAAUUUCCUUUAUCUUGCACUGUGCAAAAUACUCAAGAUUAUCUACAUUUAGCCUUGGAGAGAUGGUCCACUCUUGUGGACCAAGAGUGUUUUGAGCGUAGCCUCUUUGUUGACAUGCAGGAUUUCUGUGUGCAGGGUGUUCUCUGAAGAGCUUGGCUUUAAAUAAAAAUGCCUGCCUUCGUACUCUGCCAAACCGAUGGCAGCCUUAUUUUAUCAAAACUAGCUUGUUUUCAGGUUCUGCGCCGAGUAGUAGGUGGAUCCUGUUCGCUCGGUUGUAGCCUUGUAGUAGUGGAUGUGUGCGUGCGUGCGCCCGACUUGUUUGCCCUGCUAGCGGUGGGGGUGGUACCGCACCGUGGAUGUCUGAGAGGCGUGGAGCCGGGAGAGCCGCGAUCUCGGCAAAUCCCCCGGGAUCUGCCUCCCCUCCGGUCUCAGCGUGACGGAUGUCUGGUUUAAUCGAGGAGGAAGGGGGGAAAAAGCCUCCGUCGUUUUAACACUGACGAAAUCCUGCGGGUAAAUGUCUUUGAAAAACAAGUGUAGGGAAAACUCUGCCGCUCCUCUGUCAAUGAGCUCCUUCCGUGCAUUGACUAAAAAUCGACUUCCUUGAUCCUUGCUGUUACAUGCAGGGAUUCAUGGCUCUGAUUUCUUUACAUUUCUUUUGCCGUGGAGAGAAAAAAUUUCACCGUUAUUCCAGUCCUUGACUCACUUUCAUUUUUUUGCCACGAUUUAAUUACAGGCAUUGGAGAUAGAAGAGUUUGGGAUGGCAUAGCAUAACAUAUUAUCUCCUCACAGCUGAUGCUGGCUGUGGAAACCAUUACUUCCACAGUUUCUUCCACUUUUCCAGCUAGAUGUGACAAGUUUUCAAUCCUGAGUGUCUCUAUAAAACUAUUACGUAGUUUAGCUGAAGUAAUCCCUAUUAAAGUAGGGCAGGAUGGAGCCCAAGAAGGAAGGUGAAGCAGAGGUAGAGGAGAGGCUUAAUGUAGGUCACUGGUGGAUAUGGUCAGUUUUCAGUAGGGAAGCAUCCUAAUAUUUUGGGUUCAGGGUCCUACUGUUAGGUAAAAUAGCAUCUCAUCAAUGAAAUUAGUGCUUGAAGAGUUUUUUAGAGAACUGUUUCUCACUUUUGUCUCUGCUGCUUGCUGUAUCUGCAUGGGGGUGAAAGGAGAGGGAAGACUGGUGUGCUGCUGGUGUUGUCACACAGCACGUGUCUUUCUCCUUCCUGUCUCUGGAGCACAAUCUCCAGCCAUGGCUGUUGUGCAUCAGAGUCUCAAGAUAACUCCUUUGCAGUGUCCUUAUUUCUGUCUUCAGUGAUUUCCCAAGCAACCUGGGCAAAAACUCCUCACUCUGUCAGUGAACUUGCAUUUUCUUCUUUUUAAUAAAAUUGUAAUUGGAAAUAAUAAAAGGUAUCUUGUUAGCUUUUGAAAUCCAAAAGCCAUGAGUUCACAUGGUGUGACUUUCCUGUAGUGGAUCUAAAUUCCUGCUGAUGAAAGGCAUCAUCUUUUUUGAUGUUUUGUGCAUGCUGUGCUGUUCCUCACAAAUUGAACUGCUAUGUAUGAGCCUCAUGUUCUUAAAUUCCUGCCACAUGUUCAUCAGGUAUUGCUUUUUGGCAUGCUGGAGUUGCUUUUUGUUUUCCAGGCAAGUAUCAUGGUAAAUAAGGAAGAAAAACCCCACAGCUCUUUUCUAAUUGUUCAGUAUUUAAAUGUUAGCAUAUGGGUGACUUAAAUGCACAGGACAGCCCUAAGAGUCGCAGCAGAUGCCUGAGAGCAUUGUCCAAAAGCUUCCUGAGCUGCCAAGCUUGUGGCUAUGACCAUUUCCCUGGGGAGCCUGUUCCAGUGGCCAGCCACCCUCUGAGUGAAAAAUCUUUUCCUAAAACUCAACCUAAACCUCCCCAGACUCAGCUUCAAGCUGUUUCGUCAGGUCCUGUCCCUGGUCACCAGAGAAAAGAGAUCCAUGCCUGGCCUUCCACUUCCCCUUGUGAGGAAGCUGUAAAUUGUGAUGUGUCCCCUCAGUUUCUUCUACUCCCAGCUGAACACCUCUGAUAUUAGAGAAGAUAAAUGCUUUUUACAACCUCCAAAUGCUCGUGUAUUGCACAAGCCUGUCAAGGGCCUGGGUAUCAUUAGAAUUUCUUUUUUUAGUGACUGAAGGCACAUGAGCACAUUGAUUAUACAAUUGUGAUAUAAAGUUAGGUGAAAUUCCAGGUUUCUUGGCAGUGCACAUACUUCAGUGGGAUUUUUUUACUGGUGUUUUUUGUGGAAUACUUUCCUACUUUAUUUAUUACAACUAGCUUUGUGUGAUGCGAUAUUAAAGCAAGUUUUCGUAUCACUUUGGUCGUUCUGAUUGUGACCUUCUCCUGAUUCACACUUUAGUUUUUGAGGUGCUUCAAUUCUUGAAUUACAUUUCUGGUGUCGUCUGGAAUGUCUGGUACAUAUUUCACGCCUGGGAAAAGGUCUACAUGCCUUCAAGUUGUCAGCUUUUUCCAGUUGAACUAGUUAGUCUUACAAACUCAUAGUCUUAGUGAUUAUGUUCAUCUUUUGUCCUUAACUAUCGCAUCUACAGCAACAGUGCUGCUCCUGUGUUUACUCCUGUAGUCUGCUAUGGAUUCAGGUGUGGUUGAGUGGGGUUUUUAAUUCUUAAGAAAAUCAUCUUUGCUAUUUGAUCCUUCCAGUUCUCUUGAGAUGCGAUCUGUGCUGUAUUAUACAAAGUCACUGCCUUUUUUUUUUCCUGCUCUAGACAUUGUAAUAGAUCCUCCAUUAUUGUAAGGUAUCUAAUUACCAGAGCUUCAAAGCAAGCAUAUGUCAAGCCGCUUGAAAGAAGGCAUUUGUUUCCAGAUGGUUCGUUUUUUGUGUCAAGCUUUAUGCUGUUCAGCCAUCAUAAUGUCAAAUAUUGUCCAAAUGUUGCUCUCAUGGCCAUUACCCCAGCUUUCUGAAUUUCAUUUCUGUGGGGAUCAGAGCUGGGCUUCCUCUCUGACAUCCCUUCUCUUCUAACCAGUCUUUUGGUUGUCUGGACUCCUAGGUUAAUUAAACUGAGCUAUAUGAUAUAUGUGUGCAGGAUUGCUUUGUUUGUGGGGUUGUUUCGUUUAUUUGGGUUUGGGGCCUCUUUGUGCAGUAUGUGCUUUCUGCACCCUUUUUGCUUUCAGCUGCUGCUCUCUUGCUGAUGGUGCUUGGCAGGAGUACAGUAAUUUCCUUAUAUCCAGGCAUACAGACUCUUUACGCUGUGUGCCUGAAGUUAAAGUAAGCUAGAUUUCAGUGACAAAUAAAUGUAUUUUGAGAAUAUGCUUUUGGGAGUGUGUUCUGGUUUUGGUUGGUUUUUUUGUUUUAAUUUCUCCAGUUCUCAGUUACAGAAGCAACAGGUAGCUGUUGCUUCAUUGGGAAGAUUGUGAAUAGAGCUUUUCCCAAGUAUAGCUCUAAAAGAGAUGAAGCUCUUGUUGGGAUGAGGGUACAUUCAUUAGACAGCAUGUAUGUUACAGGUCUUGGGUGGUCUCUCAAGCCUGCCCACAAGGCUGUGGCUCUGCUGGGGAGGGCUGUGACCUUGUUGUGCCCACCUGACCCUAAUCUUGAAUGAGCUUCUUUGGGUGUGGAGGAGUGACCCUGCCGUGGCUCCUGUGGUGUGAUGUGUGGUGGAUUUUUUUGCUUGCUGUGUGCUGUACAGUUGGGUCCCAGCCCACAUCCUAUCUGGCACACAUCCUAUCUGGAUGCUGGCAUUCAGGACACCUUGUUUCUGCAUGAGACAUGUUGGCUUUGGUGUGUAGUUACCCUCUGCUACAAAGUUUAUCAGGCCCGAGAAGAUCAUUGUUUCUGGAGGGCUGUAAGAGCUCAGCAAACACUCAAAGGGGUUGUGUUUACUUCUGGUGUGAUGGACUUUUUCUGAGCAGAAGUAUGUUUGUCCUGGGGCAGGGAAGGAUGGAGCCGCUCACAUUGCCCAGGAUUUUUCAUCCCUGCCAAGGGUUCCAGAAUGAGCAUAUAGGAGAUAAAGCUCAGCUGUAUCAUAGAGUUUUCAAAACACAGUGAAAGAUUGAGGCCUUAGGAGGAAAGGGCUCCUUUGCACAUACAUCCGUGUGGAUCUUUGUUUCAAGUGAUAAAGGAUGGUAUAGGAAAGGCCAAGGAGAGGAGGUGAGGUUUUUACCAAGCCCAAAGUAGUGUUAGAGGUAGCAGUGCUACAGGGCAAGCAAGGGGAAUUCUGCUGUGUGGCUGCUGGGGAUGCUCCAUUUCUGGUCUCUCAGAGUGGAGAGCUGCUCACUGACCUCUGGCCCACGGGGUGGCGGUUGUGGUAUAGCUAGGAACAAAACACAGAAGCUUUCUUGAGCUUUGGUGGAAAGAAGAGAAUCUACCUCUCUUGGCCGGACCUUGGAGAACCCUCCCCUCUCAUCCCAGUGGAUGAUCAUCAUAAAUUGGUCUCAUCCAAAAGAAAGCUAAUUGUGGCCACUCAACACUAAUUACUUUUGUGGUAAAGCAAUUAAUGGAAAUUUAUGUGAUGCCUACCAAAUUCUCUCUUUGUAAGAAUUGAAUUAAGGGGGUGAGGCAGGCCAGGAGGCAGUAGAAAAAAGACAUAGAGGAAACUACAAACCUUCAGUGUGAGUUGAUUCAAGAGCAGUUGCUGUAGAUUUUCCUGCCAGGUAAAUGUCAGAUUGUGGGGUUGCACUCCUUCCUGGAGAGAAUGGCAUAGGUUAACUUCAAGCCAAGCCAUCUUGGAGUUAGACUGAGUGCUUGCAGCCAUAAGAUAGGUGUUGGCGAGUGCUCUGCCGUGUCCCAGCAAUAAUUUGCUUGUGCAUUUGCCUUCUAUUUCUAAGUUGUUUCAGAUAAGGGAGGGAAAGGAUGAUCAGAAUUUCUUGGUGGACUGGUGGAACACCCUUCAGGUGCUUUCCUACUGCAGCCCUGACUAGUGAUGGAUUUCUCUGUUAGUCCUGAGUUAAAAUCAGAGUCCCAGUCUGUAAAGGGACUGAGCUGUCUUUAUAGAGAGUUGUGCUUAAGUUUUUGUAGAGAUGGCUGAUGCCAUUGUAUGCAUUUUAUUAAUUCUGUCACUUUCUAAGAUUGUACCCUUGUUAAUGGUGCACUUGCACCAAAGUCUCAUUCAAAGAAAAUUGCUAGAGAGCAUCCAUAUGCACCCGUAUGUGCAUUACAUAUAUUAGAACAAUUUAAUGGUCUCUUCUUUUGUAUACCAUUUCUACAAGGCUGCUAUUAAAAUGUAAGGUCAUUUGUCUUUUCCUGAUGUGGUAAAAAAGAUGUUGGCCAAAUCUUCCUUCCUCACAGGGUCUUGGGUACAGUUUCCUGUUUGCAGUAGUAAAGAAGUAAGUCUUUGAUGUUGUACCCGCCAUUUAGCAAAAUGGUAUAUAGCUGUCAUGACUCCUGCAACAGCAGCUGGUUCAGUAAUUUUAAUAAUUUAUCAGAAGAAUAUUUAAUUUUUUACCUUCUAGUUGUAAGGUGACUUUAAGAGAAGAAUGAGAGGUAGUGUUUCUGAAAUUACCUGCUACAAAAAAUAGCAGUUGCUUGCUGCUUAGAGGAGUUGUGCUAAAAAAGGAACUUUCCCAUCCCUCUGUAAAAUCAUGUCUUGGAAUACGCUUAAAGUGUGUGUCCAAAACCUCUUUGCUCUGUUCUACAUGGACAGAAAAUGUGUAAAAGUAGGAGUCAAGGUUAUCUGGAGACUGUUGCAGUAAUCCCAGAGUUAUUUUUAAACUUGAAAUAUUUUGCAGAGUUCUGCCCCUCAUUGCCUCCCCACCUUCUUCCCAUCCCCCCCCCUUUACUGUGAAUUAGUGCUUGAAAAAAUAGUAGUAAAUACUUAAUGCAUGUCACCACUGGAAACAUGUCAAGUAAUUUGGAGGAGAAGUUCAUGUUACUCUUGGUUUGUACAGAGCUUGUGGUUGAGCGCUCCAGUCCUGUAGUUGGAUCUCUCGAAGUUUUUGCCCGCUUGCAGAGGGUCUGCUGCAGGCAGAGGCAUUGCCGAGCUUCAGGACCAGAGCCAAGAUGGUCAGGAGGCUUAUUCAUCGCUGGCAAAGGGCAGAAGGCAUCAUGCUGUGCAGUAGACAGUCUUGCUGUGGGUUAUUUGGUGUUUUUUAAAAAGUAAUUAACAUUGCUUCUGUGACUUAGCCCAUCUUAAAUGGUACAGAACUGUAUUUUCCCUCCCCCUUCAUGUAUGUAACCCAGAUGUAAUUUCCUAUAAAUAAUUUAACUACUUCAGCAGCUGUUGAGAAUGAGCUAUACCUACUUAAGAAAGUCUGAAGAAUUUUUGAAGCCUCUUCAAACAGCAUACUCUUUUUUCUUUGAUUAAUAUAACAAUGUCUUUUGCUUUUGAAAGAAGACGUUUAUAGAACUGGCUUGUGCUUCCUUAGCUUAAAAUUAGUAGGGUAUUGCUGUACUCUUUUCUUGUUUGCAAAUGUAUUAAGGGACCUGCUUGUUUUGAGGACAGAAGAAGUGAGGUAGUAACAGAGAAACAAGAGGGUCCUUUUUUGCAGAAGUCAGAAAUUAUGAAACAAGCUUAAACUGGAGGAAGAGCUUACAGAGACCUGUUCUAGAAAUGUAGCCUAUGUAGUAAUCAUGUCAAAGAAGGCAACUAUGUUGUCACUGGUAAAGUUGUUUUAUGAUAGAAUAUCUUGUUGCAUAUCUGUCUGUAAACUGAUCUUGUUAUAUAAACUGCGAUUGUGGGAGAUCUACUUGGCUGGUCCCGCCUUGUCUGCAAAGUACAGUGGUGUCUUUGGGGUCUCCUUGCAAUCAGGUUAUUUUGCACCUAGCAUAGAUCCCUGUUUCUUUGGGAAGAUCAGAAUUUUUCCUUGGGUGCUUUGAGGAUCUGGGUGGGGUUUGACCCCUUGAUGUUUUUUGUUUUGGUUUUGAAUCUUGCUUGUUAUAUGGUACUUCAGUCAGUAGAUGCCUUGAUUUGGGGCAGUCUGUGUACUUGCUGUUUGAGAGGAUAAUUCCAUUCUGACUGAGGCCUUGGUAGGAAACCUUUCUCAGCCUUGAACUAAAUCCUGGGUGAAUUUGUAAGCAUUGAAAAAUGAUUCAUGUUUGUGUACUUACUGCUCUUAUACUGGUGGCAAGAGGCCAUAGAUGAGCUUGGGGUACAUCAUGUGAAGCAGCCCAAAUAUUCAAAGGGUAGAGUGGGAACUGAAAAUAUAGGGAGAGUGUGUUGCUUCAUGCUAUAUUAUCUGGAAAGAGCAGCAGGCAUCUAUCAGAGUGUUGAAAUAUUAGGAUUUGCAUAGGAGGGAGCAAUGACCUCAUAUAUCGUGCUUAGCUCUAUGCUGGGAUGUUCUUCAAUUUGGGACUUUUGCUGCUGCUGCAAUUCAUGACAUGGAUUUGGGAAGAAGGUUAUCACUGGCUUUGGAGUUGUGGACAUGGAACCUAACCUACACUGUAGGUUAAUGUAAUUGGUAAUACAUUAAUUUGUAAUAAUGUAAUGUAAUGGGCAUGCUUCUUCCUCACAGAGCUACAGCACAAGAGCAAGGAUGCAAAGUUAGCUGCUCUGGGUAGCAUACAACUUCCCUUACGGUGUUUCUCCUGAGUAAUAAUGGGAACAGUGAUUAGCUGUGCUUAGCAGUGAUGACAGUCCAGCUUUAAAUAACAUGUGGAGCUUCCUAAGUGAGGACUUACUGAGCCUGAAAUAAAACUGCUGAGAAUCUAAAGCAUUUUGUUCAGCACACUGCAAGAGCUGUGUUCUUAAGCCUGGACUUUAGUGCAGCAAAAUACAGGGGCCAGAGAGAAAUUAGUAUCAAUCUUAAAAUUACAUCUUCCUUAAAAACUGGUGGCACAGGCUUCAAGUGGAGGAUGGUGGUGCCCUGUGCUCCUCACCCUCAUUGCAGCCUAUUUCAAGGGUACCUAAGGCCAUACACUACUGUCUGCCAGUGUUGGUCCCUUGGUCCCCCAGGGAAAAUGCGUGCAGAAUCCUGUCACAACUGUGCGCCUCAGAAGUGCUGUGGGACGGUGCUGGGUUGCAAAAGUAGACUUCUGGAGAAAAACCAUCUUUUAUUGCAUUCUCUGUGCACUAAAAGCUCUUGCACAUUUCCUCUGGGGUCUUUGGUUACUCCACUUCAGGAAGAUGCCAGUGAUGUAAAUGCAAGGAGGGAAAGCUAUGGUUAAUUGUUAAUCCAAUUAAGGUGGACUGAUGAUUUAGAAAACAUGGGUUUGCUGAUUGCAAGUAGUGGUCAUGUUCAUUGUCCCCCUGCAUCAGGUUCGGGAAGCUGACCCUAGUUUUCAUCUUUGCUGUGAAAUGAAGUUUUUUUUAAAGUCCUAAAUGUCUUUAUUACUUCUGCUAAUUAUUUUAUCUAAACUGCACCUUUCUCUUUGCCACCCCCUCUUUCCCUACCAAACAACCCUGUGCAUCCAUUUUUUGUGUGUGGACUUGUCAUGCUUACAUGAAGUUGGAGAUGAAAAGCUAAUUUGCUAUUCAGUUAAUUACUAAAACUUGCUAAUUUCUCACUGAAAUGAAAAUAUAUGUUUCAUAUUAUUUUUCAAGCUUAUUAAAGGCUUUCAAUACUGAAUUGUUCAGAACUAAAUGCAUAAUGUAGCAUAACAAGCCAAGUUUCUUUCUCUCUCCAAGCCAGAAAUUUAUUUGAAAUGUGGGAGAAGUUUCUACUGAAAUACUGUGCAGGCUGACUCUUACAAGCAAGAAUGAAAAGUGUUUGCGAUGACACUAUUUCAGUUCUGCUCAUGCUUUCAGGAAAUAUGCUUAGUAUUGAAAUAGGUUUGAAUAAGAUGCAAUUUUCUAGGAAGAAUUGUCAGAUAAGGAGAGUUAGAGAGUUCUAGCAACUUCAAACCUGUUCUUUCUGUUCUGAGUUCCUGGAAGAAAUCACAGGAUAGUUUAUUGCAACAAAACUUCUAUCAUAAUCUACGAUCAGUUGGGCAAAUUCUCAUAAUUCCUCUAACUGCCUUCCAGACACAAGGAGAUUUUGGGGAGCCCUGUUCUCCUACCAGCCUCUCAAACGCAGCAGAAUAGUUUUUUAAAAAACUUGAAUUCUUGGGCAUAUCUAGAAAAGUAAUUUUGGGUGAUAGCUUCUGCAUAAGUGAAAGCAUAGUAUAACAAACAUGCAGAUGAGCACAAACAUGGUGUGAGAGGAAAAUUAAUGAUUUUGAAGAAGUUCAAGCUGACGACCAUGCUCAAGGUAGGCAGUAUUUGGUGGUCCAAAGGAGGGUCCAGGAGGCAAAGACCCAAACAUACCUCUACUCUGGGCCCUGUAUUGGCCAGGGUUUUGUCUGCUACAGUGGAAUUAUGGCUGGGGGGAAGGGUGAUGCUUGGGAAGACUUGCAGGACUUGUGUCUUGGAGGAAGUUCCUGUGUUCCAGCUGCCCAGAGCUGCAGAUCCUGGGAGCCUCAGUACUGCAUCCCUGAUGCUGACAAAGACAUAAAUUUUGCCGUGCAGCUGUAGAUUCCCAGGGGAGGAUGGAUUCACAAAAUGCCAUCUGCUGUUUUGUGGAAACAGUAACAUUUUUUACACUUUUCUUUUUUAAUAUGGCCUGAAAUAAUAAGUAAUUUCAUAAAAUAUCUGCUCUUUAUCUCCAAAAAAGAGAUAGGGUGCAUUAUUUAAAACAAACGUUUGACUAUUGUGCAUCUUUUUCUUUUAGGGUUGUUUAUUUGGGUUUGUUUUGAUUGUGGUUUGAUUGCUUUUAUUUUGUCUUUUGUUUGAUUUUUGUUUGUUUGUAUUUAAUUGAAAAAAUAAAUUUGACAGGUGUUAUACUGUAGAAUCAAAAUGUUCGGAGUUGGAAGGGACCUUAAAGUUCAUCUAGUCCCAUGGGCUAGGACACUUUCCACUAGAUGACUGGAUUAAGUUGCUCAAGGCAUUGCCAAGCCUGGCCUUGAACACUGGUAUAUUUCUAUACUGGCAUCCAGCAGCAUUCACAAACUCUGUACAUCCUCAAGCCCUCUUCUUCCACCUUUUGUGACUAAUUAUUUUCACCACAGCAUUUGCUGUGGCAUAGAACAACUCAAUAUCAUGGUGCUCUCAAGAAACCCUGUAGCUGUUUAGGCUGCAGGUGGGUAUACACUUUUUGAUUCCACUUCCACAUUAACCUUGAGUUAGAAUCAGACAGCUGAUACCUCAGUUCCACUGACAAAGAAUGAGGUUUCAGUCCACCUAGCUUUACCCUGAUGAGAUGCAGACCCUCCUGGAACAGUUCUGCUAAUAGCAGGAGGCUGGGAAUUAGGGAUGCAUGGGUGGUGUGUAGAACCAGCAAGAUUUCAGGCUGUACUGCUUGUGCUGUGAGUGAGGUGAGCCUGAAUGGAGGUGGCUAGGCACCACUCUAGCUAUGGCAUCUAGUCUAGAUGCUUCAUCUCCCUAUAGAAGACCUGUUACACUAUGGUCUCAUAAAUACUGUUGUCUUUAGCAAAGUUGUUUGAUUUGUUGGGUUUUUAUCCUUUCUCUCAGUCAACUAAACAUUCCUUGCCAGUUACUCAUUAAGAUGGGCCACACCUUACGCUUUCUGACCGAGUCUCAGUGAAUGAGAGGUGCUAGCCCUGAAUACACGUAGCUUUUUUUUCUGGCUUGCCUCCAGGUUGGUUUAUUUUCCUUUCAUAUUGUGAGACCCUUUGGACUGUGCUUGAGGAGGAUCUGCAACCACUGCCACACUGCUCUGCAAUGGCUUUUUUUUUUGCUUAAAACUUUUGCAGUUUAGAUAAGUUCCUGAAGAAGAGCUGAUGAACCUCUUCUCGCUCUGGGUCUUUUGUGUGUAUGAACUCUUUUGAAGAGUGGAAAGCAUCAGUAUGGCCAAAAUGUGCAGUAGUGAAGAGAAACAGAAAGCUGACUUGCUUUGUCUCCUAAUCUCACACUGCUUCCUUUCCCUGUGGUGCCAGAAAUACCCCACCCUGCACCCUGCUUUCCUGAGGAGGUGCCUACUCUGCUUGCUGCUUCUACCCACCUCAGCAUACCCUGCAACUGGGUACCCUAGAGCAGUUACAAAGAUGGAAAUACUGUAUGAAUUCCUUACUGUUCAAGUGCAGCUAAAUAAUUUCAUAUUUAUUUGCUAAAAGAAACAAAAAACUUACUUGAAGAUCUUAGGUUAAUUGCUUUUCAAUUUCAUUUAAUUUGCAGUCUUUUUAAAAACUAUCUGAUAGCAAUGUGGAUCACUGAAUGCAGGAGUAUGUGUGUGUAAUAGUUAAAAAAAACCCACAACAAAUCAUGAUAAAACCACACAAGCAAAAACCAGCGCAGAACCCCACCUUGUGAGCUUUUACACCACACUCACUACACUCUUGAAGUGUAGUCUCUAGCUGUCACUGUCUGAGACCAGUUGGAGAAGCCCUGGUAUGUCAUGCUGCAGUUAGUAUAUCUGGCAUCAGUCCACGCUACAGCCAAAAAAGGCAGCGCUCCUUGCUGCUUCUUUCCUUUUCAUCCGGUGUCCUGGCACUCAAGUUUGUGUGGCUGUACAGUGAACUCAUUCAGGGGAAACUGAUCCUCUUAAACCUUUCUAUUUAUUUGUUGCUGUUGAAUUAACUUCCAGUCAAUUGAUUCUUUGCUCUGGUUCUUGGUGCAACCGUGUGAGCCUGGUUUGCUGCACGAGCAGUAGCCCAAGAGGGAGGAGGUGGGAGGGGGAUGUGAUGUUGGGCCAUCCCUCCUUGUAGGUCCUUGAACUUAGAGUGGCGGCACCUGAAGCAAUUGUGCUUGCUCUGUGUCCAUGCAUAUGUGUUGUACCUGGGCUGUGUAUGGGCAACGUGCUCUUACUGAGGGUGUGUUUAGGAUGCUGGUGCUGAAGUGAGAUCCAGACAGUGAAGCCAAAGCAGGCUGAAGAGAGCAGGAGAAGUAUCGAGACAGGAGCCCUGUGUGUGAACACGCGUAAGGUGACAUUUCUUGGAAAAGUUUAGAUGUGAGCUAGUUUGCACGUGAAGUUUAAAAUUUACAGAAAUGUGACACUGUCUUGCAGCACACCUUGGCGCCUUUGUAAAGUUUAUUACCUGUUCUGACACCUUUAACCAGCUCACGUUUGAGAAAGGAUUACUGCCCUUAGCUGCUAGCAGCCCCCUUCUAGCCUUCCAGAGGCCUCUCCCACUACAUGAAAGUCAACAGUGACCAAGAGUAAAUCUCAAAAAUCUCAUCACCUGUGAUGACAUAUUUGUUCUAGUGAACAAAAGCAGAUCAUUAUUUGGGACUUAGUGUGUAUUUUGCAAGGAUGCUGCCACAGCCUGCUGCAAUGUCCUUGCCAAGCUGGGGACGUUGUGGCAAGGAGGUGGAGUAUUGUUGGAUCAUGGGCAUGAAGUGGUCUCUAGUGGCUUGAGAGCUGCUGGACAGAUGGCUGCGAGUGUCAUUUUCCAGGUGUUGGUAAUGAGGUUGAUGCAGUUCAGCACCUUAUUAACAUCUUCCAUCACAGGCAAGAUAUUACUGUGUUACUGAUGCCACUGUUAGUGACACCAAAUUGGGAGAGGAAGAAGCAAUUCAUGUGUUGAAGGGCAGGGCUGCCAUUCAAACCAACAACCUGUGGCAUGGGCUGACCAGUGUUGCCUACUUCUGCAGAGGAAGUACGCCUGGGACACAGUAACUCUGUGCAAUAGGAUGGGCUGGACUAGACAGCAGAUCUGCAGAAAAGAGCUGGAGGUCCUGGUGGACAGGUUGAUCAUGGAUCAGCCAGUGUUUCUGUGGUUCUGUAAAAUCAAAAUGUGUUCUAGAGACCUUAAGAAAAGACAGAUUAACAAUGCUUGGGAACCGUAUGAUCCGUGUGAACUUAGUGAUUCAUGCAUUUGUGGAGGCAAGGUGUGUGAUCAUGAGAGGUUUGUUGCCCUUGGGAAGGCAAGCAGAUACGAAGUGUAAAGGCUGCAUGCAUUUUUGUUUAUUUAAUGGCUUCUGGGAACGUUUUAGCUGAAGUCCUGAACUGGUGAUUUCUUUCUCCAUACUGAGGGUAGAAACACUUGCAGCUUUUUUCUUUUUGCUGUCUGAAGUGCCCUGUAAGCAAGAUGGGGAAAAGAGCAGUGGCGUCCUGUUUGUGGAUAUGAAAUAUGUCCCGUGAGAUAAAGCACAGAGAUUGCUUCAGAGUGAGAAGAAUAUAUUUUAUGCA